UACGGGGGGGGCAAGCGUUGUUCGGAAUUACUGGGCGUAAAGGGCUCGUAGGCGGCCAACUAAGUCUGACGUGAAAUCCCUCGGCUUAACCGGGGAACUGCGUCCGAUACUGGAUGGCUUGAGUGUGGGAGAGGGAUGCGGAAUUCCAGGUGUAGCGGUGAAAUGCGUAGAUAUCAGGAGGAACACCGGUGGCGAAGGCGGCUUUCUGGACAGUAACUGACGCUGAGGCGCGAAAGCUAGGGGAGCAAACAGG
rnacentral:rRNA from 1 species